rnacentral:rRNA from 1 species
UACGGAGGGUGCAAGCGUUAUCCGGAUUCACUGGGCUUAAAGGGUGCGUAGGUGGGUUGGUAAGUCAGUGGUGAAAUCUCCGAGCUUAACUUGGAAACUGCCAUUGAUACUAUCAGUCUUGAAUAUUGUGGAGGUCAGCGGAAUAUGUCAUGUAGCGGUGAAAUGCUUAGAUAUGACAUAGAACACCAAUUGCGAAGGCAGCUGGCUACGCAUAUAUUGACACUGAGGCACGAAAGCGUGGGGAUCAAACAGG